rnacentral:lncRNA from 10 species
UGGAGAUACUCCCAUCGCAUCAAAGUUCUUCUUAUUACUUACACAUGGGGUGGCAGCUGUGACAUGCACCCAUCACAUCUCCCUCCAAGAGACCCUACAGGGGAGCACAGUUGGCUGGCAGCUCCCGGUGUCUGCGCCUCCAGGCCCACUGCUCCCUUGGGCGGCUCCCAGUCAGUGGCAAGGUAGCGGGGUUCUGGAGGAGGCCCAUUUCUACCUGCAGUGGGGAAGCUGGGCUCCUCUAAGAGGCAAACUUCUCAGAGACUCCACUGUGGCUCUGCUGAGGCUGAGAACUGUGCUUUUGGUCUGAGCGCAUUCUCCCCAUUCUCCUUCCUGCCCCCGCUCCUUGCGCCGGCCUUAGACCAGCUAGCUGUCUGCAGGCUUUCCCUGCCCACGGCUGCCCCUCCUUUCCCCUUCACAGCCGUUUCCGCCCACAUGCGCCGUGCAUGGUUAAUCGCACCGUGCCAUCCACUUCUCUGAGGACCUGAGUUAGCACACAAAGUAUGUUCGUUCCCUGUGUCCUCACCUCUCCCUGAUGUAUCUUCUCCCUUCCUCUGCUGGCUGUCUGUUGGGAAUCUUGGGAAAGGAAUUUGUGAGUAAUGUUCCAGGCAGCCUAGCUUUUAGGGUGAAUGACUGGUUCUGACUUAUGUCAAUACAUCCUUGAGUCAUGCCAAGAACUGUGGGAUGAUCAAGGACCACGGACCAGUGUCCUGGAAGCAUCGAUGGCUCCAAGCUGCUGGCACCACUGUCCUUGGAAUUACCGAGUGUGAUUUUUAGAGUUACGGGCACAUUUCUCAGGCCCCAUAAAUGUGAUGGAUGGUGAAUUACAGGACUUUUGAGUAUAUAGUGAGUGGACUACAAUUGUGCUGUAUGUAGCCCACUGCUUUGUGCGUGAGGCGAUUUUAGGCCAUUGAAGGAGUUCAGCUGUCCUCCAUAUGAGUCAUUUCCUAGACAGUGUACUCUGCAAAA